rnacentral:rRNA from 1 species
AUUGAACGCUGGCGGAAUGCUUUACACAUGCAAGUCGAACGGUAGAGGGGGCAACCCCUCGAGAGUGGCGAACGGGUGAGUAAUAUAUCGGAACGUGCCCGGUCGUGGGGGAUAACGUAGCGAAAGUUACGCUAAUACCGCAUACGAUCUAAGGAUGAAAGCGGGGGAUCGCAAGACCUCGCGCGAUUGGAGCGGCCGAUAUCAGAUUAGGUAGUUGGUGGGGUAAAGACUCACCAAGCCAACGAUCUGUAGCUGGUCUGAGAGGACGACCAGCCACACUGGAACUGAGACACGGUCCAGACUCCUACGGGAGGCAGCAGUGGGGAAUUUUGGACAAUGGACGCAAGUCUGAUCCAGCCAUUCCGCGUGCAGGAUGAAGGCCCUCGGGUUGUAAACUGCUUUUGUACGGAACGAAAAGGUCUCUCUUAAUACGGGGGACUCAUGACGGUACCGUAAGAAUAAGCACCGGCUAACUACGUGCCAGCAGCCGCGGUAA